rnacentral:rRNA from 1 species
AACGAACGCUGGCGGCAUGCCUAACACAUGCAAGUCGGACGAAGCCUUCGGGCUUAGUGGCGCACGGGUGCGUAACGCGUGGGAAUCUGCCCUUUGGUUCGGAAUAACAGUUGGAAACGACUGCUAAUACCGGAUGAUGACGAAAGUCCAAAGAUUUAUCGCCAGAGGAUGAGCCCGCGUAGGAUUAGCUAGUUGGUGUGGUAAAGGCGCACCAAGGCGACGAUCCUUAGCUGGUCUGAGAGGAUGAUCAGCCACACUGGGACUGAGACACGGCCCAGACUCCUACGGGAGGCAGCAGUGGGGAAUAUUGGACAAUGGGCGAAAGCCUGAUCCAGCAAUGCCGCGUGAGUGAUGAAGGCCUUAGGGUUGUAAAGCUCCUUUACCCGGGAUGAUAAUGACAGUACCGGGAGAAUAAGCUCCGGCUAACUCCGUGCCAGCAGCCACGGUAA